GCCAUGAUGGAGAAAAUUAAAAAGAAAAUCAAUAAUAAAAAGAAAUUUGUCAAGCAUUAAUGUUGGAAAAUGGUGGAUUUAAAUAAAUGCUAAAGAAAUUAGAUUAUGUCUUUCAAGAGCUUUUAAAUUUAAAUCAAAAAGAAAUUAUUUAAGUCUCCAUUAAAUGCUUGAAAAGUUGUGGAUUUAAAUUAAAUGCAAAUUUGGGAAAUUAGUCAAUCUUGGAAAUUAGUCAUGAUUUAAUUAAAUGAAAAAUGGGGAAUUAUGGAAAAUUGGGAUUGAUCCAAGGGAGGAGAUUUAGUCUCCAAAGAGAGAUCAAUGGAGGAGAUUUAACAAGAUAAGUCUCUUGGAUUUGUGUUUCCUUUGUAUCUAGGCAAGAGUUCUCCUAAAAUCAAGGGUUAGGAUUUAACUUGGGAGAAGCACAAGGAUUGUGCUAAUGUUCAAAGGUAGAGAUUAGGUCUCUUGAAAUAAGAAAAAAAUCAAUGGCUAGGAUGUGAUCUUGAGAAUUGGCAUGGAUUAAGAAGAAAACUCUAUAAAUGGGAAGUGAGAAAUUAGUUCCAAGCUUUUUCCCAUUUGUGAAGUAGAGAAGCAAGAAGGCAAGUAAGAAGGCAAGGAAGUCUAGAGAAGGAAGAGAAAGUCUAGCAAAAGGGUGAGUAUUAGCUUGUGGAGGUGUUGAAGCUUCAAAGUCUAAGAGGGAUUCUUGGCUUGUGAGAGUGUAAAGCUUCAAGGAAACAAGGUGGAGAAACAUCCAAGGGAAAGGGAGUUUUGCAAGGGUGAAGGUAUUGAAUCAAAGAGGAAAACUAUGUGUAAUGGUUAUGUAGUUUGUAUUUUUGUGUUGUAUUAUUUUGUUAAACUUGGAUUGUAUGUAAAUGUGGUUAAAAGGGGGUAAACUUGAGUGUUUUGG